rnacentral:rRNA from 1 species
GUAGGUGGCAAGCGUUAUCCGGAAUUAUUGGGCGUGAAGCGCGCGCAGGCGGUUUCUUAAGUCUGAUGUGAAAGCCCACGGCUCAACCGUGGAGGGUCAUUGGAAACUGGGGAACUUGAGUGCAGAAGAGAAAAGCGGAAUUCCACGUGUAGCGGUGAAAUGCGUAGAGAUGUGGAGGAACACCAGUGGCGAAGGCGGCUUUUUGGUCUGUAACUGACGCUGAGGCGCGAAAGCGUGGGGAGCAAACAGGAUUAGAUACCCUGGUAGUCCACGCCGUAAACGAUGAGUGCUAAGUGUUAGAGGGUUUCCGCCCUUUAGUGCUGCAGCUAACGCAUUAAGCACUCCGCCUGGGAGUACGGUCGCAAGACUG